UUUUGAGAUACAACAUCACGUUUGGAAGAAGAGAUUUGUGACUGCAAAAGUGACCAGUGCCAUCUUUCAAGAGCUCACCAUUCAUUCACGAAACUCCUGUGAAAGUGUCCUCUCCUACGGCUUCAUCGAACAAGAGUGACUGCGGGGAAAUGGAGUCAUCUGCUAGUGUCAGAUUAUUGUGAAAUGGC